GUGGGGAAUCUUGCGCAAUGGGCGAAAGCCUGACGCAGCCAUGCCGCGUGAAUGAUGAAGGUCUUAGGAUUGUAAAAUUCUUUCACCGGGGACGAUAAUGACGGUACCCGGAGAAGAAGCUCCUGCUAACUUCGUGCCAGCAGCCGCGGUAAUACUAAGGGGGCUAGCGUUGCUCGGAAUUACUGGGCGUAAAGGGCGCGUAGGCGGACAGCUUAGUCAGAGGUGAAAGCCCAGGGCUCAACCUGGGAAUUGCCGUUGAUACUGGCUGUCUUGAGUUUGGGAGAGGUGAGUGGAACUCCGAGUGUAGAGGUGAAAGUCGUAGAUAUUCGGAAGAACACCAGGGGCGAAGGCGACUCACUGGCCCAAUACUGACGCUGGGGCGAGAAAGAGUGGGGAGCAAACAGGAUUAGAUACCCAGGUAGUCC
rnacentral:rRNA from 1 species